UAUGAUACAAUAACGGCAAAUGCAAACUAAGAAG
rnacentral:guide_RNA from 1 species